UACGUAGGGUCCGAGCGUUGUCCGGAAUUAUUGGGCGUAAAGGGCUCGUAGGCGGUUUGUCGCGUCGGGAGUGAAAACACGGGGCUUAACCCCGUGCCUGCUUCCGAUACGGGCAGACUAGAGGUAUGCAGGGGAGAACGGAAUUCCUGGUGUAGCGGUGAAAUGCGCAGAUAUCAGGAGGAACACCGGUGGCGAAGGCGGUUCUCUGGGCAUGAUCUGACGCUGAGGAGCGAAAGUGUGGGGAGCGAACAGG
rnacentral:rRNA from 1 species